ACGGUACCGGUGGAAUAAGCACCGGCUAACUACGUGCCAGCAGCCGCGGUAAUACGUAGGGUGCGAGCGUUAAUCGGAAUUACUGGGCGUAAAGCGUGCGCAGGCGGUUCGUUAAGUUCGAUGUGAAAGCCCCGGGCUCAACCUGGGAACUGCAUUGGAAACUGGCGAGCUUGAGUGUGGCAGAGGGGGGUGGAAUUCCGCGUGUAGCAGUGAAAUGCGUAGAGAUGCGGAGGAACACCGAUGGCGAAGGCAGCCCCCUGGGCCAACACUGACGCUCAGGCACGAAAGCGUGGGGAGCAAACAGGAUUAGAUACCCUGGUAGUCCACGCCCUAAACGAUGCUCACUAGGUGUUGGGGAAGCGAUUCCUUGGUACCGUAGCUAACGCGUGAAGUGAGCCGCCUGGGGAGUACGGCCGCAAGGUUAAAACUCAAAGGAAUUGACGGGGACCCGCACAAGCGGUGGAUGAUGUGGAUUAAUUCGAUGCAACGCGAACAACCUUACCUACCCUUGACAUGUCCGGAAUCCUGCUGAAAGGCGGGGGUGCUCGAAAG
rnacentral:rRNA from 1 species